UAGGGAAUCUUAGGCAAUGGACGAAAGUCUGACCGAGCAACGCCGCGUGAGUGAAGAAGGUUUUCGGAUCGUAAAACUCUGUUGUUAGAGAAGAACAAGGACGUUAGUAACUGAACGUCCACUGACGGUAUCUAACCAGAAAGCCACGGCUAACUACGUGCCAGCAGCCGCGGUAAUACGCAGGUGGCAAGCGUUGCCCGGAUUUAUUGGGCGUAAAGCGAGCGCAGGCGGUUUCUUAAGUCUGAUGUGAAAGCCCCCGGCUCAACCGGGGAGGGUCAUUGGAAACUGGGAGACUUGGGUGCGGAAGAGGAGAGUGGCAUUCCAUGUGUAGCGGUGAAAUGCGUAGAUAUGUGGAAGAACUCCAGUGGCGAAGGCUGCUCUCUGGUCUGUAACUAACGCUGAGGCUCGAAAGCGUGGGGAGCGAACUGG
rnacentral:rRNA from 1 species